GCUUACGGCCAUACCACCCUGAGUGCGCCCGAUCUCGUCUGAUCUCGGAAGCUAAGCAGGGUCGGGCCUGGUUAGUACUUGGAUUUGAGAAUGCCUGGGAAUACCAGGUGCUGUAAACU
ensembl:rRNA 5S_rRNA 5S ribosomal RNA